rfam:Muricauda antarctica strain CGMCC 1.12174 genome assembly, contig: Ga0079848_113
GGAGCAGGCCACCUUAUCGUCCCGAUUGUAUCGGGGAGGAAAGUCCGGACACCAUAGUGCAGCAUAGCGGGUAACGCCCGUCCGCCGUGAGGCGAGGACAAGUGCAACAGAAAGCAAGUACAGUUCGGCUGUAGUGAAAUCAGGUAAACUCUAUGCGGUGAAACGCCAUGUAAACCAAUGACUGAGGGCUGCACGCCCGAGUUGGAGGGUAGGCGGUUGGAGCCUUUGGGCAACCAAAGACCUAGAUAAAUGAUAAGGGGUCCCGAAAGGGAUUACAGAAUCCGGCUUAUGGCCUGCUUUUUUU